rnacentral:rRNA from 1 species
GAUGAACGCUGGCGGCGUGCCUAAUACAUGCAAGUCGAGCGAACAGACGAGGAGCUUGCUCCUCUGACGUUAGCGGCGGACGGGUGAGUAACACGUGGAUAACCUACCUAUAAGACUGGGAUAACUUCGGGAAACCGGAGCUAAUACCGGAUAAUAUAUUGAACCGCAUGGUUCAAUAGUGAAAGACGGUUUUGCUGUCACUUAUAGAUGGAUCCGCGCCGCAUUAGAUAGUUGGUAAGGUAACGGCUUACCAAGGCAACGAUGCGUAGCCGACCUGAGAGGGUGGUCGGCCACACUGGAACUGAGACACGGUCCAGACUCCUACGGGAGGCAGCAGUAGGGAAUCUUCCGCAAUGGGGGAAAGCCUGACGGAGCAACGCCGCGUGAGUGAUGAAGGUCUUAGGAUCGUAAAGCUCUGUUAGUAGGGAAGAACAAAUGUGUAAGUAACUAUGCACGUCUUGACGGUACCUAAUCAGAAAGCCACGGCUAACUACGUG